CACGUAGUUAGCCGGAGCUUCCUCCCAGGUUACCGUCAUUAUCUUCACCUAGGACAGAGGUUUACAAUCCGAAAACCUUCUUCCCUCACGCGGCGUUGCUGCAUCAGGGUUUCCCCCAUUGUGCAAUAUCCCCCACUGCUGCCUCCCGUAGGAGUCUGGGCCGUGUCUCAGUCCCAAUGUGGCCGCUCAACCUCUCAGUCCGGCUACCGAUCGUCGCCUUGGUGGGCCGUUACCCCUCCAACUAGCUAAUCGGACGCGAGUCCAUCUUUCUGCGGAUUGCUCCUUUGAUAUCGAUACCAUGCGAUUUCAAUAUUUUAUGCGGUAUUAGCUCCGGUUUCCCGGUGUUAUCCCCCUCAAAAGGCAGGUUGCUCACGCGUUACUCACCCGUCCGCCACUAUCCAGCAUUCAAGCAAGCUCAAAUGCUAAAUCGUUCGACUUGCAUGUGUUAGGCACGCCGCCAGCGUUCGUCCUGAGCCAGGAUCAAACUCU
rnacentral:rRNA from 1 species